UGGGGAAUAUUGGACAAUGGGCGAAAGCCUGAUCCAGCCAUGCCGCGUGUGUGAAGAAGGUCUUCGGAUUGUAAAGCACUUUAAGUUGGGAGGAAGGGCAUUAACCUAAUACGUUAGUGUUUUGACGUUACCGACAGAAUAAGCACCGGCUAACUCUGUGCCAGCAGCCGCGGUAAUACAGAGGGUGCAAGCGUUAAUCGGACUUACUGGGCGUAAAGCGCGCGUAGGUGGUUUGUUAAGUUGGAUGUGAAAUCCCCGGGCUCAACCUGGGAACUGCAUUCAAAACUGACUGACUAGAGUAUGGUAGAGGGUGGUGGAAUUUCCUGUGUAGCGGUGAAAUGCGUAGAUAUAGGAAGGAACACCAGUGGCGAAGGCGACCACCUGGACUAAUACUGACACUGAGGUGCGAAAGCGUGGGGAGCAAACA
rnacentral:rRNA from 1 species